UGGACGCUGGCCACAGAGCUUGAGCUGGCUCCUGGAGGCUCCUUGUCGUAGACUCUGGGGGCUCGGGGAAGCUACUAUUUGCCAAUUGGUACGAGACAUAUUUCCGUAUUUGUGGAAUAUGGAAGAAUUGGGGAAUCCUCAGCCUCAGCAUUAAUAAUCAUCUUGUUUAUCUACCCUCAUGGUCUUUAUCAACUCUUCUUAUGUUAGGACCCACAAUUGGGUAUUUCUCAUCCCUAUUUGGCAAUUGCCAGAUGGCUUUCGUCCAUACUGGAGCCUCGUUUAAGAUGCUCAAUAACAAUAACAACAAAAACACUGAAACUGUUCACUUGCAUAUGAGAAAUUAUGACAUAAAUGCCAGAUUAUCUUUGGCUUAGAGGAAAUGGAACUUUAUUGAAUUGCUAGCACAGUAGCGUUUGCUAGAAAGGUCCCUAUAUAACGAGGGGUUGCUCCAAUAGAGGUGUGAUGCUUUGUGCUGUUCACUCAUCAGUCCACUUCUGCUCCCCAGGCUCUUCUUCUCGCUGCCACACUGUGGAGGAAGUGACGUACGAGCGACCGUGUCCACGCACAGGGGAGGUCCCAGAAACGUCAUGGGGGAAAGACUGAAAGAUCUGUUCCUCCAGCCAUUCUGUAAGGGAAUUGUUCAGCAAAAGGCUUUCUGAAUUUAUGAGAAGGGAAACGUUCAAAAUGGUGCAGAGGCAAAGCUGGAGCCUCUGUGGGUUCACUUUUUCAAGAGUGACCUCUUUCCCCAGAGGAAGUAGUCGGAGAAACACACGGGCUCUCUCCAAGCCACAAAUGGAAGGUAAUCCUUGGAACGAGACUAGGUGACCACACGAGCAAGAGAAGCGAGGUAUUGUUCUUCUUAAGUGAGCACAUUAAAGGGGGCUAGUGACGAACCCAUAGACUUCAUACUGAUAAUGCAUCCGGAAGCAUGGCAGAUCGGCAAGACAACAGUGACUCACGUGGCAUUAACCCAGCACGGGAGGGGGCCAGGUGAUCAGCGCCCACAGGGGCAGGUGCACACGCUGGGAUGGGGUUCAAGCCCACACAUCUAGACCAGUGAUGGCGCCUGAGAAAGAGAAUGUGAGCAGACCGACAGGAGAUUCAUUGACAUCUGUGACUCAAACUCUCCUGCGCCCCAGAGGAGGGUGUGGGGGGCCAAAGUAAAUGACACAGCAGGAGGAGCUACUGCAUACUGACUCAGGGAAAAGAAAUGUGGUCGAGAACGGCAGGGGUGGAUUGGAAUGUCCAAACCCUAAUCUUGGAGACAUGCGCCUUCGUAGGGCUGCAAGACUUCGCCUGGACACAUUUUGAAUCACCCGUGGCCUUGACGUUUGUGUACACAUUCUCAUGCUGCAGUAACAAGUAAUAGCAAUUGUUCAUUUGAGAGGUAUUUAUUGAACGUCUAUCCUUUCAGGGCACGUGCUGGGACUUGAGAAGGCUACAGAGACGUGCAAGCCUGUCUCUGUCCCCAAGUUUGUUAGAGGGUUUACUGACUAUCUUCAAAGAAAAAAAUAUAGACACACACACAUAUACAUACAUAUGUAUAUAUGUGUAUAUAUAGGUACAUACACACAUGCAUAUUUAUAUAUGUUCUCUUUACUAGGUUAUAAAGAUGCUGUUAAUUAAUUUUUCGGAGAAUUGGUGAGAAUUCUAGAAUUUGAGGGAGGUGUUUGGCACCAGCUGAUAAAAGAGAAGUCUUGGACCUUGGCUAUAUAAGGAGACACAAGACAUCUCUAAGCACCAUAGAAAUACUCUCCCAUGGGGGAGGAAAAGCCGUAAAGAACUGAAUCUAUGGAGUAGCGAGAUCGGGCUGAGUCCCAGCUUCAGCUUGUGGAGCUGUGGAUGGGUUUCUGAAGGAGUAGAGGCUCUGUCUCUAGGGACAAAAAUACCUACCUCAAAGGCUUGGGUGAGGGUUAUGUUUUCUAACGGCUGGCCCACAGUAGACGCUCUGUAAAUAUCAGGUCCUUUGCCAAGAUCUUUUCCCUUUGGUUGGGUUCCAGUCCCCUGGAUUAUACAUAAAAUGAGCCUUUUCAUGUUGAAGUCUGUGACAGAGCAGAUAAAGUUCUCUGGAAAUGGGGCGUCUGUGGCACCCUAAAAC